CUAAAACUGUCACCUUGCCUAAACUAAACUAAAGCCUUUAUUGAUCUUAAUGUUUUCGCUGAGGCUUUAGUAGAGGUUGUGUUGUUAGUAUUUCCAUGGGUAGUUUGACAAGGCUUUGGUAGAGGUUGUGUUGUUAGUAUUUCCAUGGGUAGUUUGACAAGGCUUUGGUAGAGGUUGUGUUGUUAGUAUUUCCAUGGGUAGUUUGACAAGGCUUUGGUAGAGGUUGUGUUGUUAGUAUUUCCAUGGGUAGUUUGACAAGGCUUUGAUAGAGGUUGUGUUGUUAGUAUUUCCAUGGGUAGUUUGACAAGGCUUUGGUAGAGGUUGUGUUGUUAGUAUUUCCAUGGGUAGUUUGACAAGGCUUUGAUAGAGGUUGUGUUGUUAGUAUUUCCAUGGGUAGUUUGACAAGGCUUUGGUAGAGGUUGUGUUGUUAAUAUUUCCAUGGGUAGUUUGACAAGGCUUUGGUAGAGGUUGUGUUGUUAAUAUUUCCAUGGGUAGUUUGACAAGGCUUUGGUAGAGGUUGUGUUGUUGAUAUUUCCAUGGGUAGUUUGACAAGGCUUUGGUAG